rnacentral:rRNA from 1 species
CUCCUACGGGAGGCAUCAGUGUUUAAUCUUGCACACUUUUCUCAAGCCUGAUGCAGCAACGCCGCGUGAGCGAUGAAGGCCUUCGGGUCGUAAAGCUCUGUCCUCAAGGAAGAUAAUGACGGUACUUGAGGAGGAAGCCCCGGCUAACUACGUGCCAGCAGCCGCGGUAAUACGUAGGGGGCUAGCGUUAUCCGGAAUUACUGGGCGUAAAGGGUGCGUAGGUGGUUUCUUAAGUCAGAGGUGAAAGGCUACGGCUCAACCGUAGUAAGCCUUUGAAACUGGGGAACUUGCGUGCAGGAGAGGAG